rnacentral:lncRNA from 12 species
CUUUGACAAGGAAGUGAAAGGCACUGGAGCUUCAAUCUAUCUGUGCUUUGGAACCACCUGGGAGAAGCAAAACAAGGCUGGACAUAGCUUAGGACAGGAUGAGUACCACUUGUGUACAGGACUUGACUCUACUCAUGCAACCAGAUGCUGAAGGAUAUUUCCCGGGCACUUUUCAGGAACAGAACAGUGACAGAGCAAGAUUCUCUUGCAGUCUCCUGGGAGAGAGCAAAGCAGAGCCAAAGCCAGAUCCAGCAGCACACACUCGUGCACUCCACUGGCUCUGCAGCAGAACCUGAGCCAUGGUGCCACAUCCAGCCCUGCAAAGGCAGCAGGCUAUUUAUGGGAAAGCAAGACCUUGGAUCAGGAUGUGGGAUCUCCUGUGCCAAUGGCACACCUGGCCAUUGUAAUGGGCAAGACAGAAGGACAAAGCCUCAAGGCUGCUGCAGAAUUCCCUCCAGAGGUACAGAGUACCAUGUUACCAUACAGCAUAUUUUGGUGAUAAAACACGCCUGUCUCCACAGGAUUUCUAAUUCAAGUCUGAAACAAUUAGUGCUCACACAGCUGGUUUUCUUCUUCCUCACAAUAAAUAGUAACUGCAUCAUAAAUGCAGCCCGGGUUAAGUUCCACAGCAAAGUCUUCAAACUGCAGCUGCAAAGUACACAAGAAAGAGGGGAUUCAAAAGACUGAAACACUUAAACUUCUUAACUGUGGGCUGGGGAAAAGCUAGAUUUGGAAGAAAAAGGGGGCAGGGCAAGACUUCCCUUGGUGAGCGUGUCACAUUUUUCAUCAAAACAGUCUGUUGGCAAUCUUGGUCUGACUGCUCUUCACUGUGCAGGGCUACAGACAGGUCUGCAGGGGAUGAUGCUGGCCUAAGCUUUGUCUUAAUGCAUUUUAACUGUCAUCUUUACUGCAGCACUCAAUGCCUUGCACCUAUGAAAGGUCAGUACCCCUUGUUGGGGGUUGAGUGUUUUCUGUUACUGUGUCAAUUUGGGGAAUUUUCCCCAUUGUCAUGCGGAUGGAGCUGGCUGGGUCACACCCAGGACCUCUGAUGUCUCUGGACAAAGGGGGUAGGUGGGAGCGGCUCCCGGAAGGGGACGGUGAUUCGGAGGAGCUCGGGGGAGGGACACCCCGUCUGGAGCCACGCGGCCGGAGGGAGGAGAGCCAGAGCCUCUGCGGUCAGCUGCCCUGCAUCUCCCCGUUCCAGCCUCCUGCCUCUGCGGACACUGCUGACCACCUGGACACAGACGGUGAGCGAGGAGCUGCCCUCUCCAGCCCGUCCCCACCCGAGACCGGCGGGUGCCGCUCCCGUCUGGGGGGGGGGGGGGGGGGGGGGGGGGGGGGGGGGGGGGGGG